GCCUCGAUAGUUUAGUGGCAAAACGCUCCCUUGGUAAGGGAGUGAGCGUGGGUUCGAUUCCCACUCGAGGCU
rnacentral:tRNA from 1 species